GUGAAUCAACCAGCAUGUUCCGUUGAUAAGCUUCCAUGGAGUCUCAGUGUUCUGUAUGAAAGCUAAAAUGGAUGAAGAAAUGGCUAGAAGAGCUAGUAUUGUGGAGAAUCUUUUGGAGGAUGAAAACGAAGAGGAUGAGUAGGAAUAAGGUGUCAAUGGAAGCUAAGAGGAGUCUCUGAGGACAUGGAGAUAGGAAGAUGAAUGACGUCAGCGAGGUGUUUUCCGCCAUUGACGAGGUUAAAGAAUAUGAGAGAGAUUUGAGUGAU
rnacentral:lncRNA from 1 species